rnacentral:rRNA from 1 species
AGAGUGAACGCUGGCGGCAGGCCUAACACAUGCAAGUCGAACGGCAGCACAGCAGAGCUUGCUCUGUGGGUGGCGAGUGGCGGGCGGGUGAGGAAUACGUCGGAAUCUGCCUUUUUGUGGGGGAUAACGUAGGGAAACUUACGCUAAUACCGCAUACGACCUACGGGUGAAAGCGGAGGACCUUCGGGCUUCGCGCAGAAAGAUGAGCCGAGUCGGAUUAGCUAGUUGGAGGGUAAUGGCCCACCAAGGCGACGAUCCGUAGCUGGUCUGAGAGGAUGAUCAGCCACACUGGGACUGAGUCACGGCCCAGACUCCGUACGGGAGCAGCCGUGGGAAUAGUGGACAAGUGGGCACAAGCCUGAUCCAGCCAUCGCCG